CCUACGGGUGGCAGCAGUCGAGAAUCAUUCACAAUGGGGGAAACCCUGAUGGUGCGACGCCGCGUGGGGGAAUGAAGGUCUUCGGAUUGUAAACCCCUGUCAUGUGGGAGCAAAUUAAAAAGAUAGUACCACAAGAGGAAGAGCCGGCUAACUCUGUGCCAGCAGCCGCGGUAAUACAGAGGUCUCAAGCGUUGUUCGGAAUCACUGGGCGUAAAGCGUGCGUAGGGUGUUUCGUAAGUCGUGUGUGAAAGGCGCGGGCUCAACCCGCGGACGGCAGAUGAUACUGCGAGACUAGAGUAAGGGAGGGGGAACCGGAAUUCGCGGUGUAGCAGUGAAAUGCGUAGAUAUCGAGAGGAACACUCGUGGCGAAGGCGGGUUCCUGGACAUUAACUGACGCUGAGGCACGAAGGCCAGGGGAGCGAAAGGGAUUAGAUACCCUUGUAGUC
rnacentral:rRNA from 1 species